rnacentral:tRNA from 1 species
AACAGUCCUAUAAACACA